AACGCACCUUGCGCUCCUUGGUAUUCCGAGGAGCAUGCCUGUUUGAGUGUCAUUAAAUUCUCAACCUCUUCAGCUUUUGUUGAUGAGGCUUGGAUGUGGGGGUUUUGCAGGUCUGCCUUAAUUGUGCGGUCUGCUCCCCUGAAAUGUAUUAGCGGGUUGGCUUCCGUCUAUUGGUGUGAUAAUUAUCUACGCCGUGGAUGGGUUUGGCUUUCAGACCAGCUUCUAACCGUCCUUUGGACAACUCUUGACAUUUUUGACCUCAAAUCAGGUAGGACUACCCGCUGAACUUAA
rnacentral:misc_RNA from 1 species